GUUUGAUCAUGGCUCAGGAUGAACGCUGGCGGCGUGCUUAACACAUGCAAGUCGAACGGAAAGCCCCUUCGGGGGAACUCGAGUGGCGAACGGGUGAGUAACACGUGGGCAAUCUGCCCCUGACACCGGGAUAACUCAGGGAAACUUGAGCUAAUACCGGAUACUCCGAGAGGAUCGCAUGGUCUUCUCGGGAAAGCUCCGACGGUCAGGGAUGAGCCCGCGGCCCAUUAGCUUGUUGGUGAGGUAACGGCUCACCAAGGCGACGAUGGGUAGCCGAGCUGAGAGGCUGAUCGGCCACACUGGGACUGAGACACGGCCCAGACUCCUACGGGAGGCAGCAGUGGGGAAUCUUGCGCAAUGGGCGAAAGCCUGACGCAGCAACGCCGCGUGCGGGAUGAAGGCCUUCGGGUUGUAAACCGCUUUCAGCAGGGAUGAAACUGACAGUACCUGCAGAAGAAGCCCCGGCCAACUACGUGCCAGCAGCCGCGGUAAUACGUAGGGGGCAAGCGUUAUCCGGAUUCAUUGGGCGUAAAGCGCGCGUAGGCGGCCCGUUAAGUCGGAUGUGAAAACCGGAGGCUUAACCUCCGGCCUGCAUCUGAAACUGGCGGGCUUGAGUCUGGUAGAGGAAAGUGGAAUUCCCAGUGUAGCGGUGAAAUGCGCAGAUAUUGGGAGGAACACCAGUGGCGAAGGCGGCUUUCUGGGCCACGACUGACGCUGAGGCGCGAAAGCUAGGGGAGCGAACAGGAUUAGAUGCCCUGGUAGUCCACGCCGUAAACGAUGGGCACUAGGUGUGGGGGGUCACCAACUCCCUCCGUGCCGCAGCUAACGCAUUAAGUGCCCCGCCUGGGGAGUACGGGCCGCAAGGCUAAAACUCAAAUGA
rnacentral:rRNA from 1 species